CCCUAGCCCUGAUAGCAGUGAAAAUCCUUUAUUUCCGCCUUUUCGGCGGAUAUAAAGAUUGCAACGGAUAGCAGGAAAUAGC
rnacentral:sRNA from 1 species